rnacentral:rRNA from 1 species
AGGACGAACGCUGGCGGCGUGCUUAACACAUGCAAGUGGAGCGACGAACCGGGGCUUGCCCCGGGGCAGAGCCGCGAACGGGUGAGUAACACGUGGGUAACCCACCCCGAUGAUUGGGACAACCCGGGGAAACUCGGGCUAAUACCAAAUGUGCUCGUAGACCAUGAGGUCCACGAGUAAAGAUAGCUUCGGCCUUCGCAUCGGGACGGGCCCGCGGCCCAUUAGCUUGUUGGUGAGGUAACGGCUCACCAAGGCGACGAUGGGUAGCUGGUCUGAGAGGACGAUCAGCCACACUGGGACUGAGACACGGCCCAGACUCCUACGGGAGGCAGCAGUGGGGAAUCUUGCGCAAUGCGCGAAAGCGUGACGCAGCAACGCCGCGUGGAGGAAGACGGUCUUCGGAUUGUAAACUCCUUUCAGUUGGGACGAAGCUCAACGGGUUAAUAGCCCGGCGGAGUGACGGUACCUUCAGAAGAAGCCCCGGCUAACUACGUGCCAGCAGCCGC